UAGAAUAAAAAGAUAAAUCCACAACUUACACAUAUAAUAUAAGAACUAAUAGUAGAAUUUGACAAUCUAUUUAUGUGUCCUGUUUGACUAUGUCAAUUUCAUACAAAAUUGGGUCCCACUAUCCACGUGGGUUCUCACACUAAAACCCCUCUCAUUUCCAUUGCCCUUCAAUCCUCCAACACGUGUCCCAUUAGUCACUAUUGCGUCUAGAACAUUGCCACGUAGCUCCAUAUAUAAGCUAGAUUUUUU
rnacentral:lncRNA from 1 species